GCUGAGGCAGGAGAACCGCUUGAACCCGGCAGAUUGCAGCGAGCCAAGAUCGCACCACUGCACUCCAGCCUGGGCGACAGAGCAAGACUCCGUCAGGAAAGGAAGGAAGGAAGGAAGGGGAAGGAAGGAAGGAAGGGAAAGGAAGGAAGGAAGGAAGGAAGGAAGGAAGGGUUGGAGAAGAAAUUUAUAGAAUUCCUAACAGUCUUAUUUUCUUAAAAUUCCUUUUUAUAGCAUCCUGUUUCUAUAUGGGCCCAAUGACUUCUUUGAUGUCAAUAACUAGAUCUCGGUUCACUGCAACCUCUGCCUCCAGGAUUCAAGCGAUUCUCCUGUCUCAGCCUCCCGAGCAGCUGAGAUUACAGGCGCCCACCACCACACCCAGUAAUUUCUUUUGUAUUUUCAGUAGAGACAGGGUCUCGCCAUGUUGGUCAGGCUGGUCUUGAACUCUUGACCUCGUGAUCCGCCCAUCUCGGCCUCCCGAAGUGCUGGGAUUACAGGCGUGAGCCACGGCGCCCAGCCUAGAUUUUUGUUUUAAUAAUUCUGAUCCCUAGAUUAAGUUUCAUCCAGGUUAUUUUUCGUCUUGGUUUCUUUUAUGUUGAAGGCUCUUCUAAAAAAAAUUUUUUUUUUAAUUUUUUUUUUAUGAGAUAGAGUCUUGCUCUGUCACCCAGGCUGAAGUGAUGUGGCAACAUCUCACCUCACCACAGCCUCGACUUCCCAGGCUCAAGUGAUCCUCCAAUCUCAGCCUCCCUAGUAGCUGGGACCACAGGCGCACACCACCACCACACCUGGAUAAUUUCCUGUAUUUUUUGUAGAGAUGGGUUUUUGCCAUGUUCCCCAGGCUGGUCUUCUCAAAGUUUUAAUCUUAGUUCCCCUUAUGGUUAAGAGUGAGGCACUAAAAGGCUGAUUAAGAGCAGUGUGACUGUAAGAUAAUCAUGCAGGGUGGGAAUAAUUCCAAUUUUCAGUUAAUUCUUUUUUUUCUUUUUUUUUUGGGGGGGGGAGACAGGCUCUCAUUAUGUCAUCCAGGCUGGAGUGCAGAGGCCACAAUCCUCUGCACACAUGGAGUGCUGCCUUGAUGUCCCGUGCCCAAGCAGUCCCACCACCUCAGCCUUCCAAGUAGUUGGGACUACAGGUGCACGCCAUCACACCUGGCUCUUUUAAAAAUUUUUUUCUUGAGAAAAGGUCUCACUAUUUUGCCCAGGCUGGUCUUGAACUCCUCAGCUCAAGUGAUCUGCCCCCUCGGCCUCCCAAAGUGUUGGGAUUACAAGCGUGAACCACUGUGCCCGGCCGGGUAGCAAGAGUUUUGGUUUCAGGAAGUUUGAAACCUGGUUUGGUCAGGUUAUGCUUUGUUGAGUUCUGGUGAGUUGUAUAUUACUAUUUCUUCAAUUGUAAAAAGACUGUAAUAAAAAAAGUACUCAAUUUGUUUGAAGGAUUCAAUGAAAUAAUAUGCCAUACUGAAAAUGCCAUCUGAUACAUUCAACCACACCAAAUCUUCACUUAAACACAAAUCCCCAUUACUUUCACCUUCAUAUGAACUUUUUUUUUUUUUAAAGACAGGGUCUUGCUCUGUCGCCCAGGCAGGAGUGCAGUGGCGCCCUCACAGCUCACUGUAGCUUUGACCUCCCAGGCUCAAGCAAUCCUCACACCUCAGUCUCCAUAGUAGCUGGACUACAGGCGUGGUCCACCAUCCUCAGCUAAUUUCUAAAAUAUUUUUAGAGAUGAGGUCUCAUUAUGUUGCCCAGGCUGGUCUCAAAUUCUUGGGCUCAAGCAAUCCUCCCACCUCAGUCUCCCAAAGUGCUGGGAUUAUAGGUAUAAACCCACCAUGUCCAGCCAUAUGAGUAUUUUUGAAGAGAAUACUUAUAUUUGCCAUGAGUAGUGUGAACCUUUUAUAUACAUGAAUGGUUAUAUAUAUAUACAUAUA
rnacentral:lncRNA from 10 species